rnacentral:rRNA from 1 species
GACGAACGCUGGCGGCGUGCUUAACACAUGCAAGUCGAACGGAAAGGCCCUGCUUGCAGGGUGCUCGAGUGGCGAACGGGUGAGUAACACGUGGGUGAUCUGCCCCUUACUUUGGGAUAAGCCUGGGAAACUGGGUCUAAUACUGGAUAGGACCAUGCUGUAGGUGGUGUGGUGGAAAGAUUAGUUUCGGUAAGGGAUGAGCUCGCGGCCUAUCAGCUUGUUGGUGGGGUAAUGGCCUACCAAGGCGUCGACGGGUAGCCGGCCUGAGAGGGUGGACGGCCACAUUGGGACUGAGAUACGGCCCAGACUCCUACGGGAGGCAGCAGUGGGGAAUAUUGCACAAUGGGCGCAAGCCUGAUGCAGCGACGCCGCGUGGGGGACGACGGCCUUCGGGUUGUAAACUCCUUUCAGCCAUGACGAAGCCCUUGUGGUGACGGUAGUGGUAGAAGAAGCACCGGCUAACUACGUG